UGGGGAAUUUUGGACAAUGGACGCAAGUCUGAUCCAGCAAUGCCGCGUGCAGGACGAAGGCCUUCGGGUUGUAAACUGCUUUUGUACAGAACGAAAGGGCUCUGGUUAAUACCUGGGGCAGAUGACGGUACUGUAAGAAUAAGCACCGGCUAACUACGUGCCAGCAGCCGCGGUAAUACGUAGGGUGCGAGCGUUAAUCGGAAUUACUGGGCGUAAAGCGUGCGCAGGCGGUUUUGUAAGACCGAUGUGAAAUCCCCGGGCUCAACCUGGGAACUGCAUUGGUGACUGCAAGGCUGGAGUGCGGCAGAGGGGGAUGGAAUUCCGCGUGUAGCAGUGAAAUGCGUAGAUAUGCGGAGGAACACCGAUGGCGAAGGCAAUCCCCUGGGCCUGCACUGACGCUCAUGCACGAAAGCGUGGGGAGCAAACAGG
rnacentral:rRNA from 1 species